CCUACGGGGGACAGCAGUGGGGAAUAUUGCACAAUGGGGGAAACCCUGAUGCAGCGACGCCGCGUGAGUGAAGAAGUAUUUCGGUAUGUAAAGCUCUAUCAGCAGGGAAGAAAAUGACGGUACCCGAUUAAGAAGCCCCGGCUAACUACGUGCCAGCAGCCGCGGUAAUACGUAGGGGGCAAGCGUUAUCCGGAUUUACUGGGUGUAAAGGGAGCGUAGACGGCAGCACAAGUCUGGAGUGAAAUGCCGGGGCUUAACCCCGGAACUGCUUUGGAAACUGUGCAGCUAGAGUGCAGGAGAGGUAAGUGGAAGUCCUAGUGUAGCGGUGAACUGCGUAGAUAUUAGGAGGAACACCAGUGGCGAAGGCGGCUUACUGGACUGUAACUGACGUUGAGGCUCGAAAGCGUGGGGAGCAAACAGGAUUAGAUACCCCGGUAGUC
rnacentral:rRNA from 1 species